rnacentral:tRNA from 2 species
GCGAAAGUGGCGGAAUUGGUAGACGCGCCAGGUUUAGGUCCUGGUGGGGGCGACCCCGUGGGAGUUCGAGUCUCCCCUUUCGCA